AUCAAAGGGAAAGGAGAUAGCUAGAGAUUAGAAGAGGAAAAGAAAGGAGGAAUUCAAGAAAGGUUGUAGAUAAAAUAGGGCAACAGAAGUUAUCAGAGAUCUACAUCAGAUAUCAAGGCCAUCAUCAUAGCUGGUUGUUUUGAGUCUCGGAGUCAUAGUACAGUUUUAUUUUGGCAUGUACAUAUUAAAUAGAGUGAGUUGUGAAGGUUAUGUAAAUCAAAGAAUAGUAAGAUAUCAAGUGACAGUUGGUAGUGUUAUUAUAAGUGUGAUGUUCAUAUGUAUUACAGGUUAAAGUGCUAAUGAAACAGAGAAAACUCUGCCGAAAAGUUUGGUUUAAAAA